rnacentral:rRNA from 1 species
CAGUAGCCGCGGUAAUACAGAGGGUGCGAGCGUUAAUCGGAUUUACUGCGUAAAGCGUGCGUAGGCGGCUUCUUAAGUCGGAUGUGAAAUCCCUGAGCUUAACUUAGGAAUUGCAUUCGAUACUGGGAAGCUAGAGUAUGGGAGAGGAUGGUAGAAUUCCAGGUGUAGCGGUGAAAUGCGUAGAGAUCUGGAGGAAUACCGAUGGCGAAGGCAGCCAUCUGGCCUAAUACUGACGCUGAGGUACGAAAGCAUGGGGAGCAAACAGGAUUAGAUACCCCCGUAGUCCCUGUCUCUUAUACAC